GCGAGAACAGCCCUUCGGGGCUGGGGAAAGCGGCGAACGGGUGAGUAACACGUGGGUAAUCUGCCCUCGGCACCGGAAUAGCCCGGGGAAACCCGGAGUAAUGCCGGAUGGCCUCUCGAGUCUGGGGACUCGUGAGAAAAGGUAGCUUCGGCCUCUGGCCGAGGAGGAGCCCGCGGCGGAUUAGCUUGUUGGUGGGGUAAUGGCUCACCAAGGCGACGAUCCGUAGCUGGUCUGAGAGGACGAUCGGCCACACUGGGACUGAGACACGGCCCAGACUCCUACGGGAGGCAGCAGUGGGGAAUCUUGCGCAAUGGGCGAAAGCCUGACGCAGCGACGCCGCGUGCGGGAAGAAGGCCUUCGGGUUGUAAACCGCUUUCAGGAGGGACGAAGCCACUCGGGUUAAUAGCCCAGAGGGUGACGGUACCUCCAGAAGAAGCCCCGGCUUACUACGUGCCAGCAGCCG
rnacentral:rRNA from 1 species